rfam:Dipodomys ordii contig_36988, whole genome shotgun sequence.
GGUAAUGUGGCUUAGUGGUAGAGUGCUUGCCUAGCAUGCAUGAUGCCCUGGGUUUGAUUCCUUAAGUACCA